CUGAAGCUGAAGUUCGAACUACAGUUGGCCACAUGGGAUCUGGCUUCCUGUACGCAGAGAUUAACUACUGUGAUACAAGGUUGAGUGAUCACAGGACCUCCCCAGUGUUAUGACUCUAGGAUAUGACAUGUGGUCAGUUUUUCUGAGCUGGGAUGAAGACAACUUUGUAAACACUUCCUUCAUCUAAAAUCUUCUUAACCACAUUCCCUGAAGAGUUUCCUUAUAGGACUCCAACUGACAAGUUUUCAUGGUUCUCUUGGAAUUUAUACAAAUCACAGUUUUCUGGAAUGAAUGAAAUACACAGAAGACAAGGAUUUUCAAUGCCCCUGACAAUUCCUAAGGAUGUGCUCUUUUAUUUUGUUUGUUGUGAUGCUAUUCCUUCCAUUUUACCUCGACCCAGCAGCAGACUUGCCAUUAGAAUCUGACAAAAACUUCAUUGUGGGGGACAGUAGAUGGUCCCUGGACUC